CAAAACUAUAUAAUAUUGAGGUUGGACAUAGUGGCACUGGUAGCGUCUUCAAAGAAGGCAUGCUUUAUUCAUGAAAGGGACAGACACUAUAGGCACCAGACCACUUCAUCUCAAUGAAGUGUUGUGGGUGCCGUGCCCAGCUCAUUUUAACCUCCGCAAAUGAAAACAAUGUUUACAUUGCAAUGUUUAAAUGCCAUCUGAUUGGUGCAGCGCUAUGUUUUGCCGCGAAUGUGAACU